rnacentral:lncRNA from 1 species
AAUGAGUCUAGCAAAUUUUUUUGAAUUUCAUAUUUUUCAUGAAUAAAGUUAUUUAAGUAAGAAAGUAUAAAGUUUGGAACAAUUGUUUUAUAAAAGAAACCAAAGGAAAAAAAAGAGUAAAAGAAGUAAGAAAGGGAAAUAACGUUAAAAGGAAGAGAGAGAAAGAGGAGAGUGCCCUUUUUCUGAAAGUGAUCCACUUGGCAAAAUAUAAAUGGGC